UCGGUCAACCGACUGUCGCCGUGGGAGCCAUUGCGGUGUACUGCUCCUUGGCUGAUUCCUAGAUAUGGAUGCACUAGUCCGUGUAGGGUUGCUGCUACACAUAUGCUAUACUAAAUAAGGAGCAGCAGUUGUCGUCAUCAUCGUUGUCUUUAUUGUUGUUGUCCCCAUCGUCAUCCUUGUUGUUGUUGCCGUCGUCAUUAUCGUCGUUGAUGUUCUUAUCCUCAAAGUAUUCUUAAAUAAAUUAUAAACCACUUGUCGGUCUACUAUGAUAUGUUUGGAUUACAAUCAUCCAGUGUAUUGUUAUCCGAUUCAUCAAGUGAAAUGGGAACAAGAAAGAGCAAUAAAGAGAAGAAAGAAUGUGCAGGUAACUAGAAGGAACACAUAAAACUAUGUACCCAAAUUGUAUAUAAACGGUUUAAGUGAGAUCUUGGUUGUCCAAAUUGGGAGCUGAUUUGGAAUCAACCGAGGUCUCUUCUUCAAAGAAGAAAGAAUCUACUAAUAUCUCUUCUUCAAGUUAGUCCCAAGUUAAACUUUACUAACACCGAGUGUAUCCAAACUUUUUCGAUCGAUUUGGCGGUGUUGUUGCUCUCUAUGGGUUGAUUCAUCCUUGUGCGUUGUUGUAGCGCUCCUUGUGCUGGUUCGGGCUUGUGCAUAUUUUAGUGCUCUAUGCGUCAAUUCGGCCUAGCGCCGUGUUGUAACUUCCUCCAUCCUUUUUUGGUCAAGGCCUUCCACUACUGAAAGUUUUCACUCGCUCAGAUGGUGUUGAAGAAAGUUUUCACUCCUGAUGAUAUCUUGCAAUGUUCGUUGAAGAAUGCGAAAGGCUUAGCAUCAUCAUGAUGUUAACCUUAUUACACAUGUGCUAUAGCAUGUGCUUUAGAGGUUUAGCCUACUUUCUCUCCACCCACCUUGGCUGCAAAGUCAGGGGCUCCGACCUCAAAUAAGCGUUGGAAGAAGAUGGUUUUCUUUAUUUCUUCAAAGAACAGGUAAUCGAUCAACUUAGGUUGGUCUACAAGGAAGAUUUCCAACAUAGCUUCGAGGUUGCAUGGUUCAAAAAAAAAAAAUUCCAUCGAAUUGUUCUUGCUCUAUUCAAGUCAACCACCAUCCAAUCCUUCACAUUAGCAAGCAAUGACUCAUUAAGGUGGGUCUCAGCCCUGUGCCUUUGGGUAAGGUGUCAGAAUCCUUCCUCUCUUGUUCUUAAGCUACCGAGGUUAACUAUGCUUUUCUUUCAUAAACAUGAAUCUCCAAGACACGAUGCUGCCAGCAGUGGAUGAGGCUCCUCUCGUCUCAACUAGCAGGCCCCUUAGAACCCCUUGUCGUCGUCCCACCACCCUCGGUGACAAUCGUAAUCCCCCUACAAGGGGAUGCUAUUUUGUGGACACUUGUGAGUGGGCUCGUGAGUCAAGGUUUUUUUUUUUUUUGGGACAUGUUAAUUGCCAUUUUGUUCAGAUCAAAAAAACCUUAAGUCCCACUUGUGGAAUGAUAGUAUGAAGGGUGGCCAUACAGUUUCUUGCAUUAAUUAAAAUUCAUACGUAUAUUCAAUGUCUUUUUUUAGGGACAUGAUAAUUAAUAUUUUUAUUACUUUUAAAAAAAGACCUUCGGUCCUACUCGUGGGAUGAAAGUAUGGAGGAUGAUCAUACGUUUCCUUAAAUUAAUUAAAAUACAUGCAUAUAUUUAAGAAUGCUAGUUUGUGGAGACUUGUGAGUGGGUACACGAACCAAAAGUUUUAUUUUAGGGACAUGUUAAUCGAUAUUUUAUUGAGAGUAAAAAAGACCUUAAGUCCUACUUGUGUAAUGAUAGUCUGGAUGAGACUCAUAUUGUUUCUUGUAUUAAUUAAAAUUAAUACAUAUAUUUAGGAAUGCUAUUUUGUGGAGACUUGUCUGUGGGUAUGCGAAUCAGUCUUUUUUAUUUAGGGACAAGUAAGUUGACAUUUUAUUCGUAUUAAAAAAUUAUCUUUAAGUCCUGGAAUGAUAGUAUAGAGGAUGGCCAUACUAAAAUACAUGCAUAUAUUUAAUAAUGUUACUUUGUGGAGAAGUUAGUGGGUGCGCGCGUGACCCGAUUGAUAUUGGGCAUUUUUUUGUUUUUAGGGACAUGCUAAUUUAUAUUAUAUUCACAUAAAGAAAAGACCUAUGUUCUUCUACUUAUGAAAUUAUAAUAUGGACGAUGUUCAUCAUCAAUCCCAGGAAUAGGUAGGUGUGUGUUGUAUCGCAGCGAUCGAGGUGUACUCGACAAGCCAACUUGUCUGUGAGUCUCCAAGCCAACUUGUGUCUGUGAGUCUCCCAGCUAUCACUAUAAAUACUCCCAUUCCUUCGUCACGGGAGGAGGGCGUGCAAUCCUAACAUCUCUUCGUGCUUCCAUGUCGGUGUCUGCAAAUGGUGAGAAGCCCCAUUCGAAAGAACUAAACAUGAAAGCGAAUAGAGCUUCUCACCAUUUGCAGACACCGAUAUGGAAGCAGCAAGAUAUAUAUUCUGCUUUACUAAGGUCAAGAUUUACCCAGGAGAUGUAAUCUACGGGUUGGAAAUAAGCUUCGUGGUAAAACCCAACCCGCCCCCGAUUAUUAGAGACAAAAAGCGCACAUCCAUAGAGGUAUAUAUUUUAUUGACAUAUUUGAACUCCGAUAUGCAUGUACAAAUUUUCUUGCGUUUCUAUGCCUGUUAGAAUAAACACACAUCAACUCUUAUCACUAAUUAAUAUUUUCUGAUCAAGAACAAAUAAAGCAUUGGAAGAAUUUCGAAUUCUUAUUCUUUUUCCACUGGGUUUCAUCACUUCGCUUCCAUCACAGGAUACUUCAAAACAAUGUUGGGAACCGACAUUUUCAAAACUUUUUCUUUUUAAGGAGCUGAAACUUAAUUAACUAUAUCAGAAGAUUAACACUCCUAGCAUUGGAAUGUAUCAAAAAGUGCAGUCCAGAGGGUCAAUCCCUUCUUCAAAAAAAUAAUGACAGACUCUCUAACAUACCUGAUCAAUCAAUUGACAAUCUCAUUUUCCUCAACAGUUCAACAAGACAUUUCUAAUGGACCUCAAUAGAUUAUAUACGUCAAAACAGUUCAACAGUGCUAAAAUAUGAAGAACAACAUAUCUAAUGGACACGAGACAGAAUAGUUGUGAAUCUGAUUCCAUAUGUACUUGUUGGAAUCCCCCCGAGAGAACACAAACUGUUAUGGCUUCACAGUACAACACCUCCCCUUCUCCAAAAUCUGUAUUCGAUAAAAAUUGGAUUAACCAUCCUCAUUUCGUAAAAUAAAACCAGCACCCCCACUAUGGUCUCCUCCACUGAACUAUCACGAUUUGGUUGAACUCCUAAAGAGGAUGGGACCAUCAAUUCUUCUACAUAUUGCUAUCAGAUAAUUUAACCCUGACAUAAGCCAAGACUGAUCCCACAAUAAUGUGAAAAAAUUGUUUGAAAUAGACAGCUUAGAGUUAUUAUACAGUACCUAUGCGCCCUUCAGAUCCACCAUAACCCAGAAGCAGUAACGACGACCACCCGUAAGCCCAGCUCACCACCCCAACUGUAAUAAUCCCUCAACAAUCCAUUCACCUGUACAUCAUAUAGGAGCAGAAAGAUCAAGGUACAGUUUUCGUUCCAACAGCUACCAUAAGGAUAUAAAAGAUCUGGCAAAAGAAAAAACAAUGCUCAAGACCAAAAACGACCCCAUCAUUCCACUUGGCCAACAAAGCCGCUCAGGUUAAAGAGGAGAAAAGCAUAGGAAGAUUUCAUGGAUACAAUCCCAUUUAAAUCAGGUCUCCAAGACCAAAAAUCAUCGCAUGACAUAGGAAAAAGAUCUACUCAGCAAAUUCUCGAUACUAAAUCCUCCCCAAAAACCAACCUAGCUUAUCAACAUCCAAAGUUCCAUCCCAAAUAAAAUUUGUAAUCACAAGAGAAGAAUUAAAUACAGAAAUAUUAACCAAAUAGGCAAACAUUUUAACGGGGCACGUAAAAUCUAAGGAUCAUCCAUAAGACGAAUAGAAGAACAAUUACCAACAAAUUUCAUAAAGACACCAUGAAGAUACUCAUGUAAAAAUAAUUUCCAACACCAAUUAGUAUUAGCAUGUGAAUUAAUGUUCCACAGGUCCACCAAACCAUAUUUAGCCCUAACCACCAUAAACUUAAAGGCUGUCACAAUCAUUCAAGUAUAGGAAAAUACACUUACCCUACAAGGUCAAAUUCAUCAAAGACAAGUCCUUAAUUCCUUAAACCCCCAUCUUGCUUAGGAAAAAUCACCUUGUCCCAAGCAAUCAAAUGAAAACCCUUAGACCUAGAAGAGUUAGAUCGUAGAAAAUUCCUCACAGUUUGAGUGACCCAAUUCAAAACUGCAGUAGGCAUCCACGUAAUACUCAAAGAAUGAAGCAGGAUAGAGUUGACUCCUAUGGGCAAAAUGAUGUUACUGACAUGAUGAAGCCACAUGGUCGACUUGAUGAAGCCACAUGGCCAACACACCGAUUCCUCAUGGCCAGCACCUUAGUUCCACAUGGUCAACACGAUGGAGCCACGUGGCCGACCCCCCAACGCGACCUCAAUGUCACGUGGCUAGACCCUGGGCCUCACGAAAGCCAACAUGUUGGCAGUGAAUGACCUCCACAUGGCAAGCAUGUUGACACCUCGCAAUCCCACAUUUCCUGGACAACUGGUUGCCCCCACCAUCCAAUCUACACGUGUUCGGAAACUACCCAAUCCUAGACUUGGUGUGGGUCAGCGGCAUUACACCCGAGAUCGACGCCACAUGUCUACAUGAAUAGUGUAACAUCCAAGAGUAACAGUUUAGAGCAACCACUAUAAAGAGGGCUCCACAGAUAUGUCACGACAUGGUAACAAAUAAUUUAUUUGACUUGUUCGACUUAUUCACUAACUUAAGCAUCAGAGGAGCACUGUCGUGCGAGCCCCAAUAUAGUUUUGUAGGAUUUGGAUGACCGAUAAAGAACUACUUGGGACUAGCUCGAGAAAGAGACUAAGUUAGAUUCGAAUCGGCUUCCACGUUGGACAAUGUGACCAAACAAGAACAGAGUUAAUCAAUGUGAUGUGACCUGCCGAUGACAAUAAGGAUUCAUGCCAGUGUCCUAAGUGAUCCAUAACAGGUUCAACCACCAAUUUAAGUUCAUAUUUAACAAUACGCCAAGGAGAAAUCAGAGUGCCCAAAUGCCUUUAUAGGAUCUCUUAAAGCAAAAAGGUGAGAUAUCACCCCUAAAACAUUUAUCAUUAAGAAGAAAGGAUAAGAUCAACGAAAUAAGAAUAUAAAAAUGCAAAGAAAUAGGGUCUCCCUACCAAAUGCCUCAAUUACCCCUAAAUAAUUGAGAGGGAUGCCCAUUCAACAAGCAAGCAAAGAACAAGGUAGAUAUACAUGUUUUGAUCCAAGAAAUAAACUUGUCAGGAUACUUAGCAACCUUCAUGGUAAGCCUUCUCUAAAUCAAUUUUAAUCUUCAUAUAUGGAUUAUGACCCUUUGAAUUAUAAAGUGACCGUGCCACCUCCUAGGCCACUAGAAUAUUAUCAUUAAUAUAUCAACCAACUUAAAUACAAAUUGCUCUCAAAAAAUAAGGUAAUCAAGAUGUGGUUUAAUCCUAUUGGUCAACACUUUGGCGAGAAUCCGAUAGUUAACAUUAAAAAGAGAAAUUGACCUAAAAUCCUUAAUUUCAUAGGAGUUUUUAGAUUUUAGGAUAAAAACCAAAAUGGUCUUGACCCAAUCAUUGGGAAGAAUAGUGGUUUAAAUAGGUGCUCGGGUGAGGCGAGGUGAGGCUCGAGUGACUCAAGUUUCAACUAGACGAUGCGCUCAGUGAAGCGUCGCUUGGGCGCUCGUCUGACCCCAAGUGUCGGAUGCCUUGGGUGAGGCCCAUUUUAAACGAAGCAACCGAACUAGACAUUUAAGUAUGGUUCAAUUGAACAAUAACUAGUUAGUUUGAUUGAACCAACUAACUACUUUCUAUUACUGUACCCUCAAAACCCACCCCCUGCACUCUUGUGCGACCCCGAGCCAUAAACCCUAGUGCAGCUUCUGCCUCCACCAUCAACACUUCCUCUACUACUACCUUCAUCGCCGACACAGGACCAAGGCUUCCUCUGUUGCCAACGGACAGGUUCGAUGACCUAGCCUUUGUGCAUAGUUACUUCCGCCAUCUCUGGUCCCAUGUGCAACUCCUUCCACAAUGAGGGAGAGUACCAUAACUUCCUCCACCACUGAUGGACACCUCUGAAGCUUCCUCCGCCCACGACAUCGCUAUCCACAACUUCCUCCGUUGCCGCUAGUAUGUCCAUAAUUUCCUCCGCCACCGCUGCUAUCAUUUGAAGCUUCCUUCGCCACUACUGCUAUCGUCUGCAACUUCCUCCAUCACCAUCAUCGUCCGAAGUUUCCUCCAUCACCACUGCCCUCUCCUUCCCCCACUUUUCACUAUUGGUGACUCUUUUCUCUCUCUCUAACUACCGUUAACAAUUCUUUUUUUCUUUCUGACUAUUGUUAAUAGUAAAUAAUAUAUUGUUAACAGUAGAUUGUUAACAAAUGUAUAAAGCAAUCUUUAUUUAGAUUGAUAAUAAACCAUUUAGAUUUUAACACUACUAAUCUAAAUAUAUUUAAAACUAUUAUUAGGGAUUCAGGAUUAAUGGCAAAUGUAUAAAGCAAUUUAGAAGAUUCUUCAAAUAAUUCAAGAAAGGAUCCUGCUUAGAAAUAUAAUUAUCUAAAGGAUCCUAAAGAUUAUAAUGUAGUUACUUGCAUCUUUUGUGAUAAGACUACUAGAGGUGAUGAUUUUCAUACAAAGUAGCAUCAAGUAAAGAAUUUCAAGAAUGCAUCAAUCUGCAAGAAGUGUCCAUCUCAUGUAAAAGAAGAGUUAUUGACAUAUAUGAUUGAAAAAAGAUACAAAGAAAUAAAUCUUAAGAGAUUUUACCCGAAAAAAAUGUUGAACAUAUUAGAGAUAAUGAUCAAGAUUAUUCUGAAAGUGCCAAUACAAGUGGAAAAAGAGUAUAUAACAAAAAAGAAAAAAAUCAUAGUUGUUAAGAAGGAUAAAAAGGAACCGAUAGACUUACAUAUGUAUCAAGAAUCACAGAAGCAACAAGGACAAACAAGAGCAAAAUUAAGAAAAACAAAUAUAAGUGAUAUUUGUGAUAAGGAAAUAAGGGGGGAUGAAUAAUUCAAUACAUUGCUCACUUCUUCUAUCAGGCUGGCCUUCCUCUUAGUACUUAUCAUUUAGAUAGUUUUAAGGAGAUGAUUAAAGCUAUUGGAAUAUAUAGUGAGGGAUUAAAACCUCCUAGUUAUCAUGAGUUAUGAGUUUCAUUAUUGAAAAGAGAGUUGAAUUAUAUAAAUGACUUGUUAAAUAACCACAAAGAAUCAUAGGUAAAGCAUGAUUGCUCUAUUAUAUCAGAUGCUUAGACCGACAGGAGAUAUAGGAGUAUAAUUAAUUUUAUGAUCUAUUAUUCUUUAGCAACCAUGUUUAUAAAGUUAAAAAAUACAUCAUCUUUCAUGAAAUUUGGAGAAAAGAUAUAUGAGUAGCUUGAUAAGUUUGUGAAAAAAAUUAAUGAAUGAAAUAUCGUUUAAGUAAUAAGCUACGACGAUGAGCCCGUGUCGCUUAACUUCCGACUCCCGGCACUAGAGACCUACGACGAUGGUUCCAACCCAAUGGAACACGUCGCCACGUUCUGAGCCCAGAUGGCUCUCUAUGGCACCUCUGAUGCCCUGAUGUGUCGGGCAUUUCCCACUCCCUUAAGUGGGCCAGCACGGACAUGGUUCAGUUGACUAUAGCCAUCCUUGGUCUUGACCUUCGACCAGCUCGCAAGAGAAUUCGAACAAAACUUCUUUGCCAGCAUCCGACCCAAAUCCUCCAUGACCACGCUCCUCGCGUUGUCCCAAGGCGACGACAAAUCACUCUCUCAGUUCAUCACCCAAUUCACCAACGAGAACCGAACAGUCCCAAACUGUCACGGACUUAGCUGGUUUUGCCUAAGUCGUGCGGCACCCUUGCGUGUCCGUCCGCAAAGGUCAGCCUCCCCGAAGACUCCCAUUGUCCCUUAGGACCAACAAAAGAGAGAACGGGCUAGAGAGAACGCCUCAAUCGGGAUCCACAAGCAAACAUCCCUGAAAAACACUUCAUAGACAAUGCAAAUUACAAACAGAUUUUACAAGCUCUGAAUAGUGGCACAACAAAGGGUAAAAUGGUCCAUUACAGACCGAAAAUCUCUCGCACGUGUCCACAUGACACAACCUUUAUUUACAAGCCUAAAGAGGCCACCAACCCAACUAAAAUGGGACUAUUAAGCCUUCGGCCGCCCCUUUACAUGCUGUACAAGGCAUGAAUAUGCCAAAAGACACGGACAUACAUAAGCAUUACAUCAAACACCUUGUUUAGAAGUUUGUCCGUGACAAAACGCUCACCCCUCCAUGGUCAUACAGGCGUUUCUAAUAGGUCUACAACCCUCAAGAUUCUUCUGGUCUCCAAUUAAGAGGCCCACCACGGUAGUCCCCGAGAUGCUCCAGCGCGCCAACCAGUACAUUGCGGCUGAGAUUUUGCUGGCCGGAAAGCGAGAAGACAACAAAAGGCCGCGAAUGGAGCAAGACCGAGGAACGAUCUCGGGCCCACCUAUGGUGAAACUUCGAAGGAGAACUAAUCGGCCCGAGAUGCCAUAUCCGAGGCCCCCUCUUCUACCCUUAAAUGCUUCUCACACUGAAAUCUUUCUCUAUAUAAGGGAGAAGGGACUCCUAUGAGAACCCAACCCAGUGAAAAUUGAUCACAAAGAUCGGUCUAAAUACUACAGGUUUCACCAAGACUACGGUUAUGACACAGAAGAGUGUCGCAACCUCCGGAACCAAAUUGAGGAGCUGAUCCAGAGAGGACAUCUCGGGCGCUACCUCAGAAAACCGAGAGAAGCGUCUCCACGCCCUAGCGGCAUGAUCGAGAAGCAGAUCGACGUCAUUAUUGGUAGGCGGGCCUCUGGAGGCAGUAGCACCAUAGAGCGGAAGGCCUAUUCACACAGCACGGUGGAAAAACGAUUGAGAUCGGAGCCCGGGCCCCAGAUCACCUUCGGAGCAGAAGAAGCUGAGUUCCCGAACCACGAUGACGCCCUAGUGGUCUUAAUCAGUAUCACCAAUGCACGGGUAAAGAGAGUAAUGGUCGACAUCGGAUGCUCCGUCGAUGUUCUAUACUUCAAAUUUUUCAAAAGGCUCGACCUCGCGGAAGGAGAUCUCUCCCCACUGGCAUCAUCGCUCAUGAGAUUCACGAGGGAUUCCGUCUCCUCACUCGGGACUACCUUGCUCCUCGUUACCAUCGGAGAGGAACCAAGGACCAAGACGAUAAUGACCACCUUAAUAGUGGUCAAUUUGCCUUCUGCCUACAACGUCAUCCUUUGCCGACCAACUUUCAACAGGCUGAAGGCAAUCAUCUCCACCUACCACCAUGCCCUAAAGUUCCUGACCUCCUCGUGGGUCGGGGUGGUCCAAAGCGACUAGAAAGAAUCCCAACAAUGUUAUCCGACAGCGGGAUUCUUUUGAGGCCGAAAAGGCUACGAUAUGCCCAACCUGCCUCGGGCCCCCGCAACAACUUCAACGUGACACACACCCGGAGCCAACGGAGCAACUGAUCGAGGUACCCCUAAGAGAAGGCUGAACCAACAAGGUUGUUCAAGUUGGGAUGACAUUGCCAGAGGUGAACCAAAUACAGCUUGUCAAUUUCUUGAAGGAAAACACCGGCGUAUUCGCGUGGUGCCUGGAAUACAUACCCGGGGUCGACCCGAAAGUCAUGCAGCACCACACCUUAACAUCCGCCCUGAGGCUCGUCCUAUGAAGCAAAGACCGAGAAAUGGUGAAGGCAUGGCAAAUUGGCGAAGCAAAGGACAAAAUGGUGAAGCAAAUUUUCUCAGCCUUUGCUUCAUAAUGAUCCAAGGAUGAUCAUUAUCAUAAAAGUUAGUUUAGAUUUAAUAACGAAAUCUUUAUUUAAGGUCAUAUCUAACCUACUACACUUUUAGUAUCUUUUCAGAGAGAUUUUCAUUAAGUAGAAAAUUUCUAUACUUACCUGAUUUCUUGACCUUCAUGCAUCACAGCUGAUGGAAACUGAGACACAAGAAUCAUCGCUUGUGCCAUCCUCUAAGAAGGCUAAAACGAUAGAAAUUGAGCCCUCUAAGGCGAUCGUAUUGUCCGGCACCACAGCGUUGGGAACACCCGCCUAAGCAUCGACGAAUGCACGUGCACCUGCAUACUUACCAUGUAGAGAACAGACUCGUAUCGCUUUGGACAUUAACCCUCUAUAUCUGAAAAGAUUGCAGGAAUGCCAUGAAAUUAGAUUUUGACGUCAUGUUGGAGCAAAAUGCUUAGAACUCCUUUUGGAGAUUGAUGUUGGCAAAUUUCGCCGCUGUCUUACUGAAGUGCUAGCUUUAGUGUUACAAGUCAGAUAACACUCAAGCAACUUUGAAGAACUCAGAUAUUGCAAUUGAGACUGGAGAAAUUGUUCCCUACACCGUUGAUAUGUGCAUGCCAGCUUUAUAAUCAAAGCUGAGAAGUACACAUAAAUCAUACAUUAAAUAUGCGUCACGAUACAGUGCAGCACCUUGUUAUACCAAGGAUAUUGAGCUGCCACUAACGUUCGCUUUGGCUAUUUAAGAGUUUAGAUCUUUUGAAAUCCACAGCAUGAUGACAAAUUUCAUCGUCGUACCUACGUAUCCCAAAGGUACAAAGAACAAAGGUCAGAAUGAAUCUACCUUUCAUAUGACCGAGUAUCAAUCGUAUGUGCCCACUCUUAAAGCCUUGUGGACUUACAAACUAAAGAAUAAGCAUCCCACCUCAGACUUAGCCUGUGUUUUCUGUAACUCCAUUCUUCUUCGGAUCCAUGAUAUAGUGCCAAGAAUGAACGGACAUAUGAGCCAGGUGGCAUCUCUCUGAGGCGGGUGCCGAAGUCGAUCGUGUCUUUGGGAUACAAGAUGAUAUCUUUGCAUUCCAAAGUAGUCUCAUCUUUAAUCACGAGAAAAACGUUGUGAAGUACAGCACUGAAAUCAAAAUAGUGAUUUCACACCUCAAACUUAGCCCGUGUUUUCCCGCCAUCGCAUUAUUCUGAUUUCAGUGCUGUAUUCCACAGCAUUUUUCUCGUGACUAAAGACGAGACUACUUCGAAAUGUAAAGAUAUCAUCUUACAUCCUAAAGACGCGACCGACUUCAGCACCCGCCUUAGAGAGAUGCCACCAGGCUCACAUGUCUGUUCAUUCCUGGCACUAUGUCACGGACCCGAAGAAGAAUAAAGAUACGAAAAACACAAGCUAUGUUUGAGUUUGUAGGUCCACCUGGCUGAACCACUCUUUUGACGAGGAAAUUUUGAUUUACAUGGUAUUCUAAGUUCUUUAAGAGUGAGCACAUACGACUGAUACUCGGUCAUACGAAAGGUAGAUUCCUUCCAACCUUCGUUCUCUGUACCUUUGGGAUACGUAGGUAUGACGAUAAAUUUGUCAUCAUGCUGUGGGUUUGAAAAGAUACAAACUCUUGAAUAGCCAAAGUGAAUGGUAAUGGCAGCUCAAUAUCUUUUGAAUAACAAGGUGUUGCAUUGUAUCGUGACGAAUGUUUAACGUAUGAUUUAUACAUAUUUCUCAUCUUUGAAUAUAAAGCUGACAUGCACAUAUCAAUGGUGCAGGGAAUAAUUUCUCUAGUCUCAAUUAUAAUCUCUAAGUUCUUUAAAGUCGCUUGAGUGUUGUAUCUAACUUGUAAUGCUAAAGCUAACACUUCAGUAAGACAGUGGGGAAAUUCGCUAACAUCAAUAUCCAAAAGAAGAAGUUCGAAGCGUUUUGCUCCAACGUGACGUCGGAAUCCAAUUUCAUGGCAUUCAUGUAAUCUUUUCAAAUAUAGAGGGUUAACGUCCAAAGCAAUACAAGUCUGCUCUGUUAGGAUCAAGAGCACUAAGGAGGGGGGGGGGGGGGGGGUGAAUUAGUGCAGCGGAAAACUUUUGACGUGCGUUCGUACGAUAAGAGCGAUUUCGGUAGAAAAUCCAAUUCGUAAAUCACUUUAACUUGUGAUCAAGCAAGAUGUAGUUAAAGCAAGUCUAUGAAGGUAGUUUGCAGUUGUGAUGAAAAUUAGAAUGUAAGCGUAAACUGAAAUAUGAUGUUCGUGCGAUAAAAUCGAUUUACGUCUAAACGUCGAUUCGGAAAAUACUGAACUUGAAACAUGAUCGUAAAUGCGCAAAAGGUAGUAAGCUAUUGAGGAGGUUUGCAGUAAAGAUAAUAUGCUCAAAGUAAAUGCAAACCGAGAUUUAGAGCGGUUCGAUCAAUCUUGACCUACAUCCACUUCUGACAACCUUUACAGAAUUUUCUUUCCUCUCUCGACGGAUCAAAACUUGGAAGAAAAGAGGAAGGAGAACUUUUAACUCAUACAACACUUUUUGAGCUCUUAAAAAUACAGAGUAAGAUCAGGAUUUCGGUGGUUUUUUUUGUUACUCUGUCAUUGCUGAAAGGGUGGGGUAUUUAUAGGCCCCAACCCAGUUUGAAUUCCGAGCUCAAAACUGUCAAUUCCCGGAAUUCCGAGGUCUGGCGGUUGCACCGCCUGACUGGGGCGGUUGCACCGCCUGGUAGAGCUCGAAGACUGAGCCUCUGGGCGGUGCCACCUCCUGUCAGGGGCGGUUGUACCUCCUGCCAGAGCUCGGAGACCGAGCUCAGGCGGUUGCACCUCUGUCAGAGGCGGUUGCACCGCCCAGCCAGAGCUCGGAGACUGAGCCCUGGGCGGUGCCACCUCCGGCCAAGUAAUCUGGGUCCGAAUGGGCUGAUCCAUUCGGCCCAAUUUGGGUCUUUCAAGGGCCCAAUUGUCCCAAGAUUAAGUUAACUACGAAUUUCUUAAGGCAUUUACUGCAACUUGCUCCAGUGCGUCAAUCUCUUCUUCCGGCGAACUUCCGGCGAACAUUCGACGAACCUUCGGCGAUGCUCCGACGGACUUCCGGCAAACUCCUGGACUUGCGAUGAUCCACUUGGCGAGUUCCGACGAGCUUCUUUGGCAAGCUCCUGGACUUCUCGGAUUUGUUCUCGUAGAACCUCCGACGACCAUCCGGACUUCCGUCGAACUCUCGAACCCCAACGUGAUCAUAGUCUUGACUCCAGCGCAACUUCUGUUGCAUGUCUUACUUUCAUCAUAUCUCAACAUAUGGAUUAGAUAACAUAUGGAUUAGAUAACAAAUCUCAACAUAUGGAUUAGAUAACAAAUGACAAUUGAUGUCAUCAUCAAAAUCUGAGAUUCAACAAUCUCUCCUUUUUUGAUGAUGACAAUCAAUUGAUAACGGAGUUAACCUUAACUCCCCCUAUCUUUGUGCCAUAAUUGAGAUAAGUCAUUCUUGAAUUCAAAACUUUUGAAUUCAAGAGACAUAUUGAUAAGUUAAAAUCAUUUAACCUUAUCAAUACUCCCAUCAUGAUUCCCAUCAUGAUGUAUCUCUCUGAAAAUGAUGUAUGAUGUCAAGGCUCGACAUCCAUUUUCAAAUUUCAAAUGUGAAUGAUGAUAAUGAUAGCAAUUCAUCAUAUGGUAAGAUAUCAACAUGUAAAAUUUCGAAGUAAGAUUUUGAUAUCUUAACAUUAUGCAUAUAUUUCAAGUAUUUUAGCAAUCAUAGCAUUUCAUCACAUGGUAAGAUAUCAAUACGUAGGACUACGAUGCAAGUUCUUGAUAUCUUAACAUGAUGCAAACAUGGCAUAAUCAUAGCAUCAAUACACAUAUAUCUGCUUCUUUCAACAUAAUAUGACAUUUAUAGCAUCAAUUCAUAUAUUUCUCCUCAUUUGUCAUCAACAAAAAAGUGAACGAUAUAAACAAAUUUUAAAUAUACGUGCGAUGCCAUAAGUAGGUUCAUGUCAUUUAUCUACAUAGAGUGAUAGGUUACAAACAUCUCAAGAAACAUGACAUGGAGAUUAUUUACAUAGAGUGAAAACUUCUUUCUUUUUAUUUGUUAUUAUCUUUUUGUAUGAAGGAGGAAAGCCAUUUGUGUAGUUCAAAUCGAUAGGAUAUUAAGGCAUGCUUUAGAAGGAUCAAGAUAUUUAUGUGAAUCAAAUCCUUGCACAUAAAAAUAUCUUCCUUUUAUAAGAAGGAAUCAUCAAAUCUAUUUCUCAAGGAGAAUAUUUUUCACAUGACAAGUCUAAAAGAUAUGCAUUUGCUAGAUGAUUCUAUUUGUCAAAAAUCAAUGAUGUGAAUGAAACUAUAUGUGACAUAUUUUUAUUAAGUCCGAAAAAGAAUAAUGUAUUCAUGAAAUCCGAUUGGAACUGAAAAUUUAAUUUAACACUUUCAUGCAAUCGAACAAGACUAUACAAUCAUGAAGACAUGCUCAUUGUUAUGGAAAUUUUUGUAUUAAUUUUCAGCAUGUCAUUUUAGGCAUGUAAUAGCAAUUAAGUGAUUUGAUCAUUCAAUCAAUAAAGUCCGAAUAAAAAAUUUUAUGCAUUCGGACACAUUAACAUCAUGGCAAUACAUCAAUAUCAUGGUAAUAUUUAACAUCAUGGUAAUGUCUUGUCAAUUUCAUGACUAUGUUACUUUCUCAUAUCAUAUUUACCAAGACACGAGGUUUUCAAAGUAGGCAUUAUAGAAACAUUUAAUUUUAACAUCAAAUGCGACAAUGAGUAACGUGAUUGAGCAUAUUCUCACCAAUUAAUACAUUAAGUAACCAUAUCAGCGAUUAGUAGUCAUCAAGGCAUUGUGAUCAAGGUGAGUAAUAUAAAGAGUUUACAACAACGUAAUUGUUACAACAAGAGGUGAUUGUGUCCAUAUGUACAAGCUUAUUCAGGAGGUGGAAAAUUAAAGUGCCUAAAUAAAGAGUCCAAUUGUCGAUGAAUUUGCUGUAGUUCAGAUAGGAUUUGAUCUUGUCGAUGUUCAAGCCGAUCUUGUUUUUGUUCAAAUCGGUCCAUCCGAAUUCCAAUAUCUUUGAUAGAUGAUGUAGGAGCUUGCCCAAAUGGAUGUGUUUCCUCAAAGGGACAGAUCGGAGGAGAUUGAGUACCCCUAAAGACUGGUGUUUCGGGUUCUGGUUCAGGUUGAGGGGGAUCGGUUCUUCUAGGCAUUCUAACCCAAUUACCGUUUCUAUAAACACAUCUCAAUCGGUGAAGUAGAUUUUUGUUUAUUAUGCUAAACCUAUCUACUUUCAUCACUUCUUCGUCGAGUGGUAUUGGAAUAUCGUAGGCUUUAAGUAUUCUAGUGAUUAUACCACCAUAUGGAAGCAUCAUGUCUCUCUUAGAUAGUUCUAUCAUGUUUUGUUGUAUAAGGUAUCCAAAACAGAUGUUAUGUCCUUUCAUGAUCCAAUACAUGGUUCCUAAUUUCAUUUGACUUACUUUAUCAUGAUGGUAUUAUUUACGGAGAAUAAUGCUAGUUAGGAUAUGAUGAAGUAAUUUAGUGCUUAGUGGUAGUAGAUGUUCACAGCUUUUAGGAACUAUCACUAGGUUGGGAUUACCGAAAACUGUUCCUAAGGCUUCAACAUAUGUUGUCCCAACUGUUUCAUUGUCCCACGGUCCUCUAAAAUAAAGUCCUCUAUUUUUUACGGGAAUGCCUAUCAUGUCACAAAUGAAUUUAUCCAUAAUGAAGAUGUGUUGUCCUAAGAGAUAGGUAGACAUUCUUUCUUCUUCAUCUACUUGUAGAUUAUUGUAAAACAGUCUAACAAGUCUUGGAUAGAUGGGUUCACUAAUUUGUAAAAUAGGGAGUAGAUCUAGGUUUGCAAACCAUUGGAUUGUCUCUAAGUCUCUUAGUUCAUCUAAAUCUACAUGUUUUCCCUUAUUGACACUUCUAAAUUCGAAAGAGAAAAAAUUUUCAGCAUGAUAUUUUGAAUCGAAAAGGGUAAGAUCAAAGUCUUCCACUAAUCUCCUCUUCCCUUUGUCCCUUGAGGAUCUUCUAGAGCCUAUAACUACUGUUAUUUAAGAGGAUAGUAAUGAGCAAGAGUAAAUGAAUCAAAAACAGAAUUUAGAGGCUUCUUAGAUAAUACCUUAAGUGAGAUCUUCAAGAGAAUGAGAUAUUGUUGAUCUUUUGCUACGAAAUGAGGAGUAUUUGGGAUGCUAAGAGGGGAGAAAUGGAGGUGGAGAAGCUUUGGAAGAGUAAAGAGGGGAAGGGAGUGAGUUGGGGUCGGUUCCACCGCCGACCCUAACUUGGUUAAAAAGGGGGCAGGAUUACGGGCGAUUGCACCGCUUGUUGGGGCGGUGCAACCGCUUGCAAUAAGUGAUAGCCGGAGGUGCUACCUCCAGUUGGGGCGGUGCCACCGCCUGCAAGCGGUGAGCACUCGUUUUUACUGCUGUGUGAUUUGAUUUGAAUGUUUUUUACUUAAGAAGAAUUUUUAUUUGGCGUAGUCAACUUUACUUACGUAAUUACGUAAGAAUUUUCAUUUUAAGAUGAGAAAUUUUGAACGAUCAAGAUAGAUCUAGUGAUGCGCAUACUCUACUUCAAAUGUCGUACGCAUGUUUGUGACAGAUUAUCCAAGUUGGUAAGCUUUGCAAGUCCAUGACAAACUUUGCUUACAAGACAUAAGUUCAUAAUAUGGUUGGAUAAACAAUGUAACAUGAUAAACUCUAUGCAACAUGAUAAACAAUGUAGAUCUAUUUUUGAGGCACCCAAAAGCAAAUGGGUACCUAAAAAUCAUCCUUUCUUGUAAAGACGUAAAACAUCAUAAGCUGGGAGCAAAAAAUAAUAUCCUACUCUUUGGAUUCUCGAUAUUCAUGANNNNNNNNNNNNNNNNNNNNNNNNNNNNNNNNNNNNNNNNNNNNNNNNNNNNNNNNNNNNNNNNNNNNNNNNNNNNNNNNNNNNNNNNNNNNNNNNNNNNNNNNNNNNNNNNNNNNNNNNNNNNNNNNNNNNNNNNNNNNNNNNNNNNNNNNNNNNNNNNNNNNNNNNNNNNNNNNNNNNNNNNNNNNNNNNNNNNNNNNNNNNNNNNNNNNNNNNNNNNNNNNNNNNNNNNNNNNNNNNNNNNNNNNNNNNNNNNNNNNNNNNNNNNNNNNNNNNNNNNNNNNNNNNNNNNNNNNNNNNNNNNNNNNNNNNNNNNNNNNNNNNNNNNNNNNNNNNNNNNNNNNNNNNNNNNNNNNNNNNNNNNNNNNNNNNNNNNNNNNNNNNNNNNNNNNNNNNNNNNNNNNNNNNNNNNNNNNNNNNNNNNNNNNNNNNNNNNNNNNNNNNNNNNNNNNNNNNNNNNNNNNNNNNNNNNNNNNNNNNNNNNNNNNNNNNNNNNNNNNNNNNNNNNNNNNNNNNNNNNNNNNNNNNNNNNNNNNNNNNNNNNNNNNNNNNNNNNNNNNNNNNNNNNNNNNNNNNNNNNNNNNNNNNNNNNNNNNNNNNNNNNNNNNNNNNNNNNNNNNNNNNNNNNNNNNNNNNNNNNNNNNNNNNNNNNNNNNNNNNNNNNNNNNNNNNNNNNNNNNNNNNNNNNNNNNNNNNNNNNNNNNNNNNNNNNNNNNNNNNNNNNNNNNNNNNNNNNNNNNNNNNNNNNNNNNNNNNNNNNNNNNNNNNNNNNNNNNNNNNNNNNNNNNNNNNNNNNNNNNNNNNCCUUUUUCGAUUCAAAAUAUCAUGCUGAAAAGUUUUUCUCUUUCGAAUUUGGAAGUGUCAAUAAGGGAAAACAUGUAGAUUUAGAUGAACUAAGAGACUUAGAGACAAUCCAAUGGUUUGCAAACCUAGAUCUACUCCCUAUUUUACAAAUUAAUGAACCCAUCUAUCCAAGACUUGUUAGAUUGUUUUACAACAAUAUACAAGUAGAUGAAGAAGAAAGAAUGUCUACAUAUCUCUUAUGACAACACAUCUCCAUUACAGAUAAACUCAUUUGCGACAUGAUAGGCAUUCCCAUAAAAAAUAGAGGACUUUACUUUAGAGGAUCAUGGGAUGAUGAAACUGUUGAGACAACAUAUGUUGAAGCCUUAGGAACAAUUUUCGUCAAUCCCAAUUUAGCGAUUGUUCCUAAAAGUUGUGAACAUCUAUUACCACUAAACACUAAGGUACUUCAUCAUAUCCUAACUAGCAUCAUUCUCCCUAAACAAUACCAUCAUGAUGAAGUAAGCCAAAUAGAAUUAGGAACUAUGUAUUGGAUCAUGAAAAGACAUGACAUCUAUCUUGGUUAUCUUAUCCAACAAAACAUGUUAGAACUAUCUAAGAAAGACAUGAUGCUUCCAUAUGGUGGUAUAAUCACUAGAAUACUGAAAGCCUACGAUAUUCCAAUACCAUCCAACGAAGUAGUAAUAAAAGUAGAUAGGUUUAGCAUAAUAAAUAAAAAUCUACUUCACCGAUUGAGAUGUAUUUAUAGAAACGGUAACUGGCUUAGAAUGCCUAGAAGAACCGAUCCCCCUCAACCUGAACCAGAACCGGAAACACCAGUCUUUAGGGGUACUCAAUCUCCUUCGAUCUGUCCUUUUGAGGAAACACAUUCAUUUGAGCAAGCUCCUGCAUCAUAUGUCGAAGAUAUUGGGAUUCGGAUGGACCGAUUUGAACAAAGACAAGAACGGCUUGAAUAUCGACAAGAUCAAAUCCUAUCUGAGCUGCAGCAAAUUCAUCGACAAUUUAACUCUUUAGUUAGGUAUUUUAUUUUUCCACCUCGAGAAUGAGCUUAUAUGUGUAUUGUAAACUCUUUAUGUUACUCACCAUGAUCACAAUGCCCUGUGCCUUGAUCUUUGAUAUGGUUACCUGAUGUAUUUAUUUGUGAGCAGAGUUACAAACAUCACUCAUUGUUUAAUCUCGCUACUCACUGUCGGAUUUUACAUUGAAACUAAAUAUUUUUAUAACCACCUUGAAAACCUUAUGCCUUGGUUUCCAUGAUAAAUAUGAUUUGAGAAAAUGAUAUACCAUUGCAGUUGAUGCAUCAUGUUAUUAUAUUGUCAUAAUAUUAAACAUCAACUAGCUGAUAUUUUUACAAAACCUCUAAGUGAAGAACAAUUUGAUUUCAUAAGAAGAGAAUUAGGAAUGUUGAUGUGUCUAAAUACAUAAACUAGUUAAAAUUAUUUUUCGGACUUUAUUGAAUGAUCAAAUCAAUUGAUUGUCAUUACAUGCCUAAAUAACAUGUUGGAAAUUAUGUGUUGAAUACAAAAAUUUCCAUAACAAUAAGCAUGUUUUGUCUUCAUAAUUGUAUUUGAAAAUCUAUAGCAUAGUCUUGUCCGAAUGCAUAAAAGUGUUAAUUUCAUUUUCGGAUUCGCUUAACAAUUGGUAUCCUAACAAUCAGAUUUUCUCAUACACUUAUUAUAUGAAAAAUAUUUUUCUGAAAUGGAUUUGAUGAAAUGAUUCCUGCUUAUAAAUUCCAUCUUGAAAUAUGGAUGAUAGUGUUUUUACUUACAAAGAUUUGUUUCAUAUACAUAUCUUGAUCCUUGUAAAAAUGAAGCAUGAUUUAAUCUCUCAUCGAUUUUAACUUCACUCAAAGUAAAUUCACAAAUAGCUGGUAUCACAAAUGACCUUCCUCCUUCAUUCAAAAAGAUUAUAACAAAUAAAAAGGAAGAAGUAUUCAAAGCGAUCUACAUAUCAUGCUUUCCUUUAUAUGCUUGUAUAAUUGAUUUCCUAUCACUCACUAUUGGAAAAUAACAUGAACCUAGUAAAGGCAUGAACAAUUAUCACACUUAUGCUCAAAAUUUGCUUAUAUUAUUCUCCUGGUAUCACAAUUACCACACUUUUUGUCGAUGACAAAUGGGGAGAAAUAUAUGAGUAUUAAUGCUAUGCUUGCAUCACCAAGAGAUAUAUGAAUAGAUGCUAUGAUUGCUAUAAUUUACAUUAUGCCUUGUUUGUCUCGUGUCAAGAUAUCAAACAAAACACUUGCAUCGUAAUUUUACGUAUUGAUAUCUUACCAUGUGAUGAAAUGCAAUAAUUGCUAAAACAUUUGAAAUGUGUCCAUCAUGUAAUGAUAUCAAAAUCUUACUUUGUAGUUUUACAUGUUGAUAUCUUACAAUAUGAUGAAUUGCUACUAUUACCAUCAUUCAAACUUGUAAUGUAAAAUUUGAAAAUGAAUGUCAAGCCUUGACAUCAUCUUCAGAGAGAAACAUCAUGAUGGGAAUCAUUAUGGGAGUAUUGAUAAGUUUAAAUGAUUUUAACUUAUCAAUAUGUCUCUUGAAUUCAAAGGUUUUGAAUUCAAGAAUGACUUAUCUCAAGUAUGGCAUAUAGACAGGGGGAGAUAAGGUUAACUCUAUUAUCAAUUGAUUAUCAUCAUAAAAAAGGGGGAGAUUAUUGCAUCUCGGAUUUUGAUGAUGAAGUCAAUUGUCAUUUGUUAUCUAAUCUAUAUGUUGAGAUAAGUGUGCAGGAUUAACUACGAUGAAAGUAAGAUAUGCAGCAGGAGUUGCGCCGGAAUCAAGACAAUGAUCACGUUGGGAGUUCGAGAGUUCGACGGAAGUUCGGACAGUUGUCGAAGGUUCUGCGGGAACAAAUCUGAGAAGUCCAUGAGCUUGCCAAAGAAGUUCGUCGGAACUCGCCAAGUGGAUCGUCGCAAGUCCAGGAGUUUGCCGGAAGUCCGCAGGAGCAUCACCGAGGGUUCAUCGGAUGAUCGACGGAAGUUCGCCGGAAGCUCGCCGGAUGAUCGAUCUUCGAGCUCUGGCAGGAGGUGCAACCGCCCCUGACAAGAGGUGGCACCGCCUAGAGGCUCAGUCUUCGAGCUCUGCUAGGCGGUGCCAUUGCCUCAGUCAAGAGGUGCAACCGCCAGAUCCCGAAAUUCCGGAAAUUGACAGUUUUGAGCUCGAAAUUCAAACUGGGUUGGGGCCUAUAAAUACCCCACCCUUUCAGCACUGAAAGGGCACCAAAAACACACCGAAAUCCUGAUCUUAUUCUGUGAUUUUUAGAGCUCAAAAUUGUUGCAAAGGCCAAAAGUUCUUCUCCCUCUUUUCUUCUAAGUUCUGAUCUUUAAAAAGAUGAGAGAAAAUUCUGUAAGGGUUGUCUCCUAAGCCCAUCAAAAGGAGUGAAACUGUAAAAGAGUGGUUGGCCUUCGCCUAUUGAAGGAAGGCCUCUAGUUGACGUCGGUGACCUCGUCGGUGGAGGAAGCCAAAAGUGGAUAUAGGUCAAGAUUGACCGAACCACUCUAAAUCUCGGUUUGCAUUUACUUUGAGCAUCUUAUCCUUACUGCAAACCUCCUCAAUAGCUUACUGCCUUCUGCACAUUUACGAUCGUGUUUCAAAGUUCAGUAUUUUCCGAAUCGACGUUUAGACGUAAAUCAGUUUUAUCGUACGAACAUCAUAUUUCAGUUUGCGCUUACAUUUUAACUUUCAUCAUAACUGCAAACUGCCUUCAUAGAUUUCCUUUAACUACAUCUCGCUUGAUUACAAGUUAAAGAGAUUUACGAAUCGGCUUUUCUACCGAAAUCGCUUUUAUCGUACGAAUACUUUUUUAAUCGUCGAAAGUUUUCCGCUGCACUAAUUCACCCCCCCCUCUUAGUACUCUUGAUCCUAACAACAUCAGCUCGAGCGCAAGACCUCGGGAGGGAGAUAGUGCCACGGUAGAUGCAUCGCUUGUUAUCCGAGCGACAAUGGUCAUCUCCCCGUGCCAUCUGGCACCGCGCCAACUAGUCUCGCCGAAACAAGGAUUGUUUUGGGAACCCCGGGACGGUGCCGCAUGGCGCCAUCCCACAUAUCCCGGAUAACGAACACCCAAAGGUACAUUCACCACUCAUGGGUUUGGUCGUAUGACCCACCCCUAGGAGUUAUGAUAAAAACCCCUUGCCAGCAUCUAACGGGGGGUAUAAGAACAUUAGUAGACCACUAACUCGAGCUUUGGAGAGGCCCAAGUCGGGAUCAUUCCCUAUCCCGACCCAGGCCUAUGUGUAGGAAUCCAGGUUCAGCAAAGGAGGACGAGUUCGGGAAGAGGCGCGUCCUCACCAAGUUCAACCUCGACUCGACUAACUAGGACCUUCGCCCUUAGGAUGAUCCUGGACGUCGCCAGUCGAACCAAGCUGUGUCAACCACGCGAUCACGACUCGAGGUUCACGGAACGAACAGUAGGUAAAUAAUUUGAAACAAAAAUACAACACUUAUAUUGGACUUCAUGUGUGACAUAUUACAUUGAUUUAAUGUUGGAAGAUCUUAAAAAGACUCCUAAAAUCAAGAAGACGUUAGAAAAAACAAUCUUUGUCGUUAGAUUUUUUUAAAAACAUUCUGGUACUUUGAAUAUGAUGAGAGAGAACUCACAGGAAAUAAGGAAUUGGUGAAAUAUGAUGUCAAUCGAUUUACUAUAUCCUUCUUCACAUUACAAAGCAUGCAUUGUCAAAAACAUAACCUGAGAAACAUGUUUACCUAGGAGAAAUGAGUAAAAAACAAAUGGGCAAAAGAUACGAAAAGCAAGAGGGUCGGUUAUAUCAUCUUAAUGUCAUCGUUUUGGAAACUUAUAAUUUAUAUAUUAAAGGUAAUGAAUACUCUUGUUCGAGUCCUUCGGUUGGCAGAUAAUGAAAAGAAACUUUCAAUGAGAUAUAUUCAUGAGGCUAUAGAUAGAGCAAAUGAGACAAUUCAAAAGUCUUAUGAUGAAAAUGAAAAAAAGUACAAGAAAAUAUUGAUAAUUAUUGAUGAAAGAUAAAAUUAUCAACUUUAUCAUCCACUACAUACAGUAGGAUAUUAUUUAAAUCUAAAAUUCUUUUACAAAAACACCUCAAUUGAGUUUAAUACAGAAGUUGUAAAUAAGUCAUAUCAGUACAUUACAAGAUUGGUUCCAUGAGGUGCAAGAUAAGAUCAUACAUAAAUUAUCUUUAUACAAAAAUAUCGAUAGUCUUGUUAGAAUUCCAAUGGCAAUUCGAUUUUGGACAACUACAUCCUUAGGUAUUAAUAAAUUUAUAUAAUUAAUUUUAUAUAUAAUAUAUUAUUGUUAAUAAUAAAAUAAAUUUUAUAACUGAAUGGUGAAGUUUAUUUGAAAAUUUUCACCUCAAACUUAUAGCAAUUGAUAAUCAAAAUUCUUAGUUUAACAUAUAGUGUUGCAGGUUGUAAACGAAACUAGAGUGUGUUUGAGCAUGUAAGGAUCACAGAAUAUUUUUAUUUCAAUUAAUAUAUUUUUUAUAUAGAUGUAUUAAUAUAAUUUUUAAUUAUAUGACACGAUAGAUUCCUACAAAGAGAAGAAAUCAAUUAGAGCAUAAACGAUUAUAUGAUCUUUUAAAUAUAAAGUAUAAUAAAAAAUUGAAAGCUCAUCAUGAUUUGCGAAAUAACAUUGAUGCAAUCUUAUUACAAGACAUUGAAGAUUCAAAUGAGUGGUUUAUGAUGAAAUGGGUGCGAACUUGCAUAACACCGAAGACAAGCUUAUAUUUGAAUAUCACAGCUAGACAUGGGGAGAUAUGUUAAGAGUCUCAGGUGUUAGAGAAUUAUAGACAUAUACAAGAUAGAUGACGAAGAAAAAAAAUGAGUAUAAAAGCCUCAAGCUCAUCUUUUACCAUUGUCAAAUAAGAGGAAAUAUAUUUUAACGAAAAUGGACAAGAGGAAGAAAAAGAUGAUGAUAUGUUUCAGAAUGACGAUGUUGAUUUUGAUGAUGAUUGAAUUUGAUGCAAACUUUAUUGUUUUAAGUCUUUUGACAUUUUUGUUAUUAAAAGAUAGAUAAGUUAAUAUCAUAUUUUUAUUUAUAUAAUCAUAUUUAUCAAUUAUAUUAUAUAUUUUUUAUAUUUUAAUAUUUUAAAACACCUCGUUUCGCUCAAACAAGCGCUUAGUGCCUCGGGCAUUUUGGGACCUUGACGUCUUUUGAUGCUUAACGCUUUUAAAUCACUUGGGAAGAAAAGUAUAAUCAUGAAAAUACUAAAAGGCCUAAAUUAUAGAAGUAGAAAUAAUCUACUAGUAAAAAUGAUAUAACUCAACAAUCAAGUUAUCAGGCCCCGAACACUUAUUUAACUCAAGAGAGACAAGGCCAUCCCAAAUCUCACUCCUGCUAGAAGGACCCACCAAGUGAUUACCAUGCAUCGAAGAUAACCCCCAAUUGUAGGUAAACAAGUUAAUAAACAGGGAGAAAUCAAUACACCCAUUAGCCUUCCAAAGAUUAGAAUAAAGUGACAAAUUUAUUU
rnacentral:lncRNA from 1 species